rnacentral:rRNA from 1 species
GACGAACGCUGGCGGCGUGCCUAAUACAUGCAAGUCGAACGAGAGCGACCGGUGCUUGCACUGGUCAAUCUAGUGGCGAACGGGUGAGUAACACGUGGGUAACCUGCCCAUCAGAGGGGGAUAACAUCCGGAAACGGAUGCUAAAACCGCAUAGGUCUUCGAGCCGCAUGGCUUGAAGAGGAAAAGAGGCGCAAGCUUCUGCUGAUGGAUGGACCUGCGGUGCAUUAGCUAGUUGGUGAGGUAACGGCUCACCAAGGCCGUGAUGCAUAGCCGACCUGAGAGGGUGAUCGGCCACAUUGGGACUGAGACACGGCCCAAACUCCUACGGGAGGCAGCAGUAGGGAAUCUUCCGCAAUGGACGCAAGUCUGACGGAGCAACGCCGCGUGAGUGAAGAAGGUUUUCGGAUCGUAAAACUCUGUUGUUAGAGAAGAACAAGUGCUAGAGUAACUGUUAGCGCCUUGACGGUAUCUAACCAGAAAGCCACGGCUAACUACGUG